rnacentral:lncRNA from 1 species
GCAGAAACCCUUUAUCCCAUCUAUUUCAUUAGAGUUUCAGGCAGCUGUGAAGGAAUCAUUUGAGCCUAACGUUUCUCUGCUUCUCAGCUGGUUGUGCUGGAGAGCCUGAGCAGGCCCCUGCUGAGUGUGCCAAAGGUAGCAAUAAAGCUGGGUAACUUGCUGCAACAAGCAGAGAGAGGAUAUAGGAGAAAAGAAGAGUGCUGGGGAGGUUCAGCUGUGCCCAUCAGUAGCAUUUUGCAUUUCCUGAGCACCAGACUGGUACCAGAUCUACGGCCUGCCCGAAGACCAGGUAAGAGAUAAGGAGUGAGUGCAAAGGGUACAAAGCAGCAUCAGAUGCUGUAAGCCAGUGCAAUA